rnacentral:lncRNA from 1 species
CACUUCAUAAAUUUCAUCAAGUUCAAUUUUACAGACAUUAGCUCCUUCACCAAGGAACUCCUUUUCUAAAAAGACUGCCUGGCUGCUGACAAACAUCUUUUGUUCUGCAGUGAGGUAGAAGUAGUACCUUUUAGUUUUCUUUGGGUAUCCUACGAACAAGCAUCUAUCGGACUUCGAUCCAAGCUUAUCUGUCUUUAAAUGCUUGAUAUAAGCUGGACAUCCUCAGACCCUA